rnacentral:rRNA from 1 species
CCUACGGGAGGCAGCAGUAGGGAAUCUUCCACAAUGGGCGCAAGCCUGAUGGAGCGACGCCGCGUGAGUGAAGACGGCCUUCGGGUUGUAAAGCUCUGUCUGUCGGGACGAAGACCGGCCCGGAAGGGCCGGGGAGCCGGUACCGACGGAGGAAGCCCCUGCAAACUACGUGCCAGCAGCCGCGGUAAGACGUAGGGGGCAAGCGUUGUCCGGAGUUACUGGGCGUAAAGGGCGUGUAGGCGGUGCGGUACGUAGCGGUUUUAAGCCUCCGGCUCACCCGGAGGAGGGCGGCUAAACGGUCGCGCUAGAGGGCAGGAGAGGUGCGUGGAAUUCCUGGUGGAGCGGUGAAAUGCGUAAAGAUCAGGAAGAACACCCGUGGCGAAGGCGGCGCACUGGCCUGGGCCCUGACGCUGAGGCGCGACAGCGUGGGG